CUUUUCCGUGGACGAUCCACCGAACAAGGCACCGAAAACCGACGAGCAUUACCAAGUCCUGCCAGAAAACCGGGAAAGGAGCUCACCACGCACGGAAUCUCGUGCGGGAACCUUGUCGAACCGCUCAAAAACAGCUGAAAUUCGACGCUCCGCGUCUUCCGAGCGGAGAUAUGGACGGGCCAGAGAUGGCACAACAACUAACCGAAAAAGGAAACGCAGAGCAUAUCAGGAUUAGAAUUUUCCGUCCGAAAAAAACGGCAGCCAGAUCAGAUGAACUCAACCUCCCUCUCUUAUCUCUCUCUCUCUCUCUCUUCUCCCGGAGGUGAGAUGCAAUUCGAAUGUUCGAGGGUUUCCUUCCAGCUUUUUCUCAGCGCCUCGUUUUUAUAUACGUGCAACACCUCCCUCUGCCUCUCCCUCCCUUCUUUCUACUUCUCAUAUUCACCUAUUUUGAGUCGUUUUCAAUGAACGGCAAUAUCAUCAAAUGUUUUUCAGAAAACCUGUUUAUUGUUUGAGUGCUAUUAACAUAAACAUCCUCUCAUAUAAAUUUUUCAGCUUCCCUUUGCGUAUUUCCAUACAAAUACAUCAUCAUAUUUACAGCGACCUUAUUGCUAGCUUCUGUUAAGAUCAUGUCAUGGUGGUAAGUUCCAAACCAUUUGCAUUUACCCAUUCUCGUUUUCGUGCUUUAUACGACGCUCAUCAAAUAAUUCUAACGCCAAGAAAGAGUUCUCCGACUCGCAUACCAAAUGUGCCGUUAAAUGCAAUAAUGAAAACAUUCACGGGCUCCUCGUAACAUCCCCCGAGUUCGGGAAUUCGUUCAUUUACGUUCUCGUCCGGAAACCGUUCUCAUUAACUCGGGGCGGUUACCAGCAUCGGCGCGUCCGCCCCCCGCUCUUUUGGCGAUCAUUCGCCGCGCGCUUUUAUUCGACCGAUUUACCGCCAUCGGAAAGGCGCUCCCGCGGUAAAUCGGCGAUGAGCGAUGAAGGGUUAGAAUCGGAAUUAGGCGCGAGACUUUCCGCUUUUAUGAACUUCCGGCGGGUUAAUAAAUGUGAGAAUUCACAUCCCCCGAUGCGAGUCCCUCUCGAGGGGCACGCUCGUCAUUCGCAUUAAAUCGUUUCUCCCCCUCCGUAACGGAAGGGGGUCAUGUUCGAGCGGGUCGUGGAACGUUAGGUAUUUCAGAUCCAAUCGAGAAAGAGAUUGAUGAUCCAUCCGUUUCGAGUUAGGAUCUAACCUCUGAUCAAAAACUUACGGAAGGAAAAAGGUUGCCGGUUUAGUCCUUUCCCCCAAAACUGUACGCAACGUCUGCUCGUGAGGGGACGUGAGCGCCCGUCCCGUUUCCAAAUGAGACCAAACAGGCGUUGGGUAGAGCCCCGACAAGGGAGGCGUCUCGGAACACCCGCGGCCGGACGAUUAGGGUUUGGGAACCCCAGAAAGUCAGAAACGAUUACGAUCGCGGUCGAUCGAGAUCUCCGGCCCCGGAUUUCGCGAUCUUGAGUUAGGUUUCGACGGCUGGCCUUUUAGAAAUCCGAGAUGUCAAAAUAUUCCGAUCUCCGUAAGUUUGCACAGUAGAAAUGAGGCCGACCGAACUGGGAUUGUUCACAAGAGAAUAUCGUCGAUUCUGUUUUUGGCAGGAGCGUUCAGCGAGAGAUCCUGAUUAUGCCAAACGCGCUCUUGAAGGAGGGAGUGGCCAAAGGAGUUGAGAGCGGUGGCUUUGUCACGAGGGAAGCGGCCAGGGGAAGGCGCGCCCCAACCAAGAGGAAGGAAGGGGGGAGGGCGGAGUUGACAACUCCUUAAAAGGCAUGGCUCGCUUCUCAAGAAGAGGAAACAUUCCGCCAGAGGACAUUCUCGUCAUUUAAGAAAAAGUCAACGACGCUGAUUUCAUCGGCUUUGCUGCCGCCCUCUUCCCCGAUCGAUAAUGCCGAAACUUCCUAUCCGGACCCUGUCAUGGACACAAUUUCAGAAAGCAGGUUCGUAAUUUUCACGCUCCGUAAAGAAACAACCCCGCUCGUUACUAAAAUUAUCAAACAAGAAGCCGUAGUUUAUGGGAUGCCCUUUACCGUGAAAAGGCUUCUCUUAACUUUUUACUUUCGCCCCGAUAACUUUAUAUGCAAAUGACAUUUUUAUUCCAUUAGGUUGAUUUUUUUUUUUUUUUGUCUGACUGCCUGUGUUAAAGAAUUGAAAAAUGUUAGGUUCGUUUUCGGAAUUUUAGUUAAAAACUAAGGGCGCAAGCGAUAUAGAGAACCAACGCCGGUGAUGAGGUAGGACGAUCUGGUGGCGUCGCUGUCGAGGAGGAGGAAGUGGUGGUGGUGGGGCGGAAGGAGCUCGACAGGUCGCAAUCGGUGGGACCAGGAGUUGCAGGCAGGGCUGUCGGUAGCUGACGGAAACAUUCCGACGGCGGAGGGGGGAGGGGAGGGGACGAUGAGAUACCGGCCGUCCAUCGCCGGCGGUGGAGGGCGGCGGUUCAUGACACGAUCACGUGAGCGAGCCCGUGAUACUCACAUACUCUGACGAAGUGCGGCGUCCCCCUCCUCUGUUCCUCCUUCCUCCGCUCCCGCUUUACGGAGACGUGUCGAUGAAUUCCGGCGUUUCGAAGCGGAGUACUGGGAUGGCGCGUCCACGUCAUGUGAUUCUCUCCUUACACUUUUGCCGAGAGCGUGCGAAAUUACGCUACAGCCACAUGCUCCGGCAAUGGUGGACGGAGGACGAUGCAGUUGAAACUUGAAAACCGAUCGUGGUGGACCGGUGGUUGAUCCACUACAAUACGUGCUUAGUACAUUUCCCGUUUCCUUUUCCAACGAUAAUGAUUUAGAGGUCGGACCAUAUCAAGCCCAGCAAUGACUAUUGGCACUUGGCAGGCAGCCCACUUAAAAGAUUGUGGAGGAAACCUGUUAUUGAAGAUUGAUUAUACUCUUUAGAACCACCGACAGCUUCGACCCGAAAGAAAAGGCCAUAAAGUUAAAGGAAGGUUUCUUUGCUUGAGAAAGCAGAGUGGGAGUCUCCGUCCACAGGAAUUCUCUCUGGAAUCAUGCAUGGCUUCUUGGAGUUUUUUGGCAGCUUCGAUAAAUAUCAGAAAUAAUCAAGAGAGCGAAUGGUGGCCCACAGAUGAGGAGGAGGAGCCUGCUGCUCUUUAAUUUCAGAGGCGAGGGGACAGCUAGAGGAAAAAACAGAAAGCCUAGAGAGAAAGAAAGGGAGAGAUGGAGAGAGACACUGGUUUUGCUGCUGCAGCAACAGCAGGUAGGUGCAAUGGUUGUGCCAUUAAUGGCCGAACCCAGUUCGUGUCAUGGCCGCACCACCACAGUACGGGUUGGCUGCCUAUGAUUGUACUAUAGAGUAUAGAGCUCUGCAACACACAGCCAUUAAUUAGGAGAGAGGGAAAAGGUAAAGGUGGGGAACAUAUCAUUCUGAAAUAAUGGCGCCUCUGGUUCGGACACAUGGUAGGGCUGAGCUAAUUAACAGUCUGCUCGAGUCAAGAUCCUGGCCGUUGUCUGAGGAAUCGGACGGCUCCGAUCUUGUGGGCACCAAACAUUAUUUCCAGUCAUUUAUAUUGAUAAACUAAUAAAUGAAGAAGGUAGUUCCGCUUCAUCCUCACAGGGACGUGGACAUCUCGUGCUGCAAUUUGGCUGGCUUUUGCUGCCAUUCCUCUUCCUCUGACGGCACGUAACACGCCCGAACCAUGGCAGCCCUGUUUCCUUUUUGACCUUUUCUGUUUGCCUUGGGGUUCCUUUUACCUGCCUUCUUCAUCGACAUGCGAACUGGAUUCCAUGUUGAUCUGCCAAAUAGAAAGAAUAUCGACAGGUUGGUUCUGGUUUGAACAUAU